rnacentral:sRNA from 17 species
GUCAGCACCCCGCGCUAAAGCGACGGGGCAUCAUGCCUCUCCUUUAGGUAGCUGACCAGCCUAAGUCUUAGCUGACUACGUUAGAUAAGUCACGACACCCUAGAAUGCGUUGCUAGUUCUCGGCUCUGUC